rnacentral:tRNA from 1 species
UGGAAGUAGCUCAGUUGGUUAGAGCGCUGCACCGGAAUCGCAGGGCCGUAGGUUCAAUUCCUACCAG